rnacentral:rRNA from 1 species
AUGAACGCUAGCGGCGCGCCUUAUGCAUGCAAGUCGUACGGUCCCGCAAGGGACAGUGGCGAACGGGUGAGUAAUAGUUAGGUAACCUGCCUUUAAGUGGGGGAUAACACUUCGAAAGAAGUGCUAAUACCGCAUGUGGUGCUCUUUCAUAAGAAGGAUCACUAAAACCGCAAGGUGCUUGAAGAGGGGCCUGACUCCGAUUAGCUAGUUGGUGGGGUAACGGCCUACCAAGGCUAUGAUCGGUAGCUGGUCUGAGAGGAUGGUCAGCCACACUGGGACUGAGACACGGCCCAGACUCCUACGGGAGGCAGCAGCAAGGAAUCUUGGGCAAUGGGCGAAAGCCUGACCCAGCGACGCCGCGUGAGGGAUGAAGGCCUUCGGGUUGUAAACCUCUUUUCUCAGGGAAGAAUAAUGACGGUACCUGAGGAAUAAGUCUCGGCUAACUACGU